rnacentral:rRNA from 1 species
GCAGCCUGAUGCAGCCAUGCCGCGUGUGUGAAGAAGGCCUUCGGGUUGUAAAGCACUUUCAGCAGUGAGGAAGGUGAUGUCGUUAAUAUCGGCAUCAUUUGACGUUAGCUGCAGAAGAAGCACCGGCUAACUCCGUGCCAGCAGCCGCGGUAAUACGGAGGGUGCGAGCGUUAAUCGGAAUUACUGGGCGUAAAGCGCAUGCAGGUGGUUUGUUAAGUCAGAUGUGAAAGCCCGGGGCUCAACCUCGGAAUAGCAUUUGAAACUGGGCAAAACUAGAGUACUGUAGAGGGGGGGUAGAAUUUCAGGUGUAGCGGUGAAAUGCGUAGAGAUCUGAAGGAAUACCGGUGGCGAAGGCGGCCCCCCUGGACAGAUACUGACACUCAGAUGCGAAAGCGUGGGGAGCAAACAGGAUUAGAUACCCUGGUAGUCCACGCCGUAAACGAUGUCUACUUGGAGGUUGUGGCCUUGAGCCGUGGCUUUCGGAGCUAACGCGUUAAGUAGACCGCCUGGGGAGUACGGUCGCAAGAUUAAAACUCAAAUGAAUUGACGGGGGCCCGCACAAGCGGUGGAGCAUGUGGUUUAAUUCGAUGCAACGCGAAGAACCUUACCUACUCUUGACAU